rnacentral:rRNA from 1 species
GACGAACGCUGGCGGCGUGCUUAACACAUGCAAGUCGAACGGAAAGGCCCUGCUUUUGUGGGGUGCUCGAGUGGCGAACGGGUGAGUAACACGUGAGUAACCUGCCCUUGACUUUGGGAUAACUUCAGGAAACUGGGGCUAAUACCGGAUAGGAGCUCCUGCUGCAUGGUGGGGGUUGGAAAGUUUCGGCGGUUGGGGAUGGACUCGCGGCUUAUCAGCUUGUUGGUGGGGUAGUGGCUUACCAAGGCUUUGACGGGUAGCCGGCCUGAGAGGGUGACCGGAGACAGUGGGAAGUAGGAGCGGCAGAGGAACGUGCGGGGGGAAGAGGGGGGGAAGAUGGGACAGCGGGAGAAAGCUGGGUGCGGCAGGGGCGGGGGGGGGGUGACGCGGUGCGGGUGGUAACGCGUUUUCGCGUGGGAGGAGGGGGGGGUGGGUGUAAGGGGUAAAUAGGCACGGGGUAACACCGGGCCAGGGGCCGCAGGAAUAGAGGGAAGGGCACCCGUCUGACU